UACGUAGGGUGCAAGCGUUGUCCGGAAUUAUUGGGCGUAAAGAGCUCGUAGGCGGCUUGUCGCGUCGGCUGUGAAAACCUGGGGCUCAACCCCGGGCCUGCAGCCGAUACGGGCAAGCUAGAAUUCGGUAGGGGAGACUGGAAUUCCUGGUGUAGCGGUGAAAUGCGCAGAUAUCAGGAGGAACACCGGUGGCGAAGGCGGAUCUCUGGGCCUGAUCUGACGCUGAGGCGCGAAAGCUAGGGGAGCGAACAGG
rnacentral:rRNA from 1 species